rnacentral:lncRNA from 1 species
CAAGGAAACAAGCUAGGUAAGUUAAAAUUUCUUUAAUUCUCCUUGAUACCUAGCUUACCCAUGCUUUUGUUCUUGAUUUCCAUGGUUGAAUAUUGAGUUAUCAUGAUGAAUUCAAUUCUGAAAAAUGGGUAUGGAAGAGGAAUUGUUGUUGGAAUAAUUUGAUUUUAGACUAUGUUAGUGUUUAGGGAUAGUUAAGCAUGGUUAUGAACAAAAACACAAAAGAAAUAUUCAAUUUCUCUAGGGUUCCUUGUUGGUCGAACCAUGAGGGCUGAAUAUCAAUGGGGGAUUGUUUUUAUUUCAAGGAAAAUGGCUUGGAAAAUGAUGAAUUAAGGUGAAACGGUUAUGUAGAAAAAUUUUUGGUGCUAGUGCACCAAAUGACCGAAUUUUUCUAUAAGGAACUGUGAGGGUUCUAAUGCUGAAUUUGGCUUUAUUUAAAUGGUAUGUGGUAAAUUAAGGUAUUAGAGGAGAAAUGGAUUAAUUUGGAGUGAAAUUGGACGCAUUGGCCAAUUUAUCGGAUGAAAAAUCGACUUAGGCCACUACCGGGUCUAGAUGGCUACCCGUGCAUUUUUCAUUUCAUAUCAUAUAUAUAUCGAGCCUGAAAUAGCUUAUGACUGUUAGACACAAUUUAAUUGGAAUAUGUGUCAUGGAUUAUGGCUAGGUGGUGAGCCAUUGGAUACGGGUAAAGGACUGUACCCGCGGACUAAAAAUAGGAGUAUUUCUACUCCUAAUACCGGUGAGUGGACUUGCAUUUCAAACUUGUUUUGGGGAAUAUGAAAGAUUCUAUCCAACUUGUCUUAGAAAAUGUACCUUGGGAACAAGCUUUUAGUAAAAUGAUUUUAUAUUGUGAAAAUGUGCUAUACAAUGGUUUAUGUGUUAUCACAAUAUGAUAAAAUGCAUGAUAUGCAUUGGAUGCUUCUUUGCAUGUUGAUUUGGACCCGGCUAUGUGCGAGUAGGAGUGCACAUAAGCCGUUGCGGACCCGGCUAUGUGCGAGUAGGAGUGCACAUAAGCCGUUGCUGACCCGGCUAUGUGCGAGUAGGAGUGCACAUAAGCCGUUGCUGACCCGGCUAUGUGCGAGUAGGAGUGCACAUAAGCCGUUGCUGACCCGGCUAUGUGCGAGUAGGAGUGCACAUAAGCCGUUGCUGACCCGACUAUGUGCGAGUAGGAGUGCACAUAAGCCGUUGCUGACCCGGCUAUGUGCGAGUAGGAGUGCAUAUAAGCCGUUGCUGACCCGGCUAUGUGCGAGUAGGAGUGCACAUAAGCCGUUGCUGACCCGGCUAUGUGUGAGUGGGAGUGCACAUAAGCCGUUGUUGCCCCCAUAGCUUAUAGGGCUGGAUGCUUCGUGAUCUUCCACCCUAUGAGUGCUUUGAUAGGUAUGAUCUGUG